CCAGACGGUCGGAUGACCGCCUCCGUUCUCGGACGGGGGAGGAAAGUCCGGGCUCCACGGGAACACGGUGCCGGGUAACGCCCGGCGGGGGCGACCCCAGGGAAAGUGCCACAGAAAGCAAACCGCCCGUAUCGCUUCGGCCACGCGGGUAAGGGUGAAAGGGUGCGGUAAGAGCGCACCGCGUUGCCGGCAACGGCGACGGCAAGGUAAACCCCACCGGGAGCAAGACCAAAUAGGGACGGUCGGCUGGUUCGGCCAGCAGGGGUGUUUCCGCCUCACCGUCCGGGUCGGUUGCGCGAGGCGCCUGGCGACAGGCGUCCCAGAUGAAUGGUCAUCCCGGCCGCUGUUUCGGCGGCGGCGCGGACAGAACCCGGCUUACAGACCGUCUGGCACC
rnacentral:RNase_P_RNA from 1 species